GUUGGGAGUUGACUAGCAAAAAUGUCAAUGAAUUGAAAUUUUUUACAGCAACUAGGUUGGAACUUGUUGCUUUAUAACAGUAUUUGCACCCACAAUACCCACUGAUCAUGGUGAUAAUAUGUGUCGUCACUCAAACUGAACUUACCGUGGACAGAUUAAGACCUCUCAAAGAUUCCUUCAGCCUGUAAUAAUUCUUUCCGAUUGGAAUUUCUGUUUUAAGCCACGGUGGUAACCGUAACCUGGAAAACAAUGCGUCCUACUGUACUUUGUUAUUUUACCUUGUCUACGAACAGACGAUUUUAUGCGUCAAGGCAAACCACACUUUCACCACUUGUCCUAUUUAAACCUGUUUCGCCAUUUUGCACCCUUGUGCGCUUUACUUUCAAUUUGUGUCAAGGCGAGUAUUUAUUCUGUACAGUAUUUCCCAAAUUUCAAAAAUUCUGUAUUUCCCAAAUUUCAAGCUCAAAGUAGACUAACAAGGCAAAGACCAAAGUGUUAACCUGUCAGAGGUGUUGGGGGUCAAUAGUCCAAGAAACUUUGACCUCUGGGUCUUGAU
rnacentral:lncRNA from 1 species